UUAAUUUUUUGGAUUCUGAUUUUUUGGAUUUUGAAUUUUUAUAAAAAUUCACGAAAAUGAUGUGACACGUAAAAAAAGUGUCGCGAAACCUUAUAAAGAAUAUAUAUUCAUUAAUACCAUUCUAAACUGGUGCCGAACUGAAAAAGUAUGCGACCAAAGAUGUAGCUUUUGGGCAGGUUUAACUCUUGACUCAUACCUUUAUUAAAAUAAUGUACAUCGUACCGUAAGCUAAGGGUUGAAUUGGACAAUUAUGGGCUGUAGUUAAGAGUAUUUUGGAACUCGAUUUAGCCAAGGCGUGUUUUUGUUUUGUUUUUGUGAUUUUGUUUGUUUGUUUUAUUUUUUUGCAAAUUCAAAUAUUCGAUAAGCAGAACAUUACCUUUUGCGACAGUUUUGAUGAUCAGAGAACAGAUUCAAUUCCACCACUUAUCCUGCUUAAUCUUAUUGUGCCCAAACCACAAAAUUGCUGCGGAAAUAAAGUGACCUGGCGCAAAAAUCAAUGUAAAAAAUUAUGUUGGCGUAUUCCCAGCCGUAAUCUCCAACUCUAUACAGAAAAUAAAAAAAAAUCGAUUUUUUUGUUACUGAAAAAUUACCCCCCUUAACAUUAGGAACUGAUUAGGAACUGACUAGGAACCAAGAAAGAUUUAGGAACCAGAGAACCAGGAUAACCUCGGUCCUGGUUUUUAUGAAAAUAGUAAAAGUCUCGAAAUUAAAUUGUCGCGACAUAUCUUAAGAUUUUGAUGUCGUUUAUUAAGUGUUUUGAGGUAGAUAAUAUGCGUUUAUUCAGUUGAAACUUUUGAACAAGUUUUUGUGAUAUCUUGAUUUGGUUGUUUAUGCCCAGCAAUUUUAAUACAACGCUAUUAUCUCAUUAUCGAGACACUUUUGCUUAGACAGGACUCAAGCUGCAGAACUCAGUAAUGAUUUCUUUGGAAUUUAAAACUACCAGUAGUCAAUUCUGCUGUUUUCCUAAUUCCAUUUCUCUUAGAAUCCGUGCUAUUAUUUGACUGGAGUAGUUCCUAUCACCUUGGUGGAUGCAAGAAAUCAAGGUCAUUUGUCCACGAGUUCCAAUUCUUCUUGAUCUUUGACAUGGAACUUAGUCCACACUUGCCCAAUAACUUACUAUCAACUAUUAUAUACUAUACUUUAUUAUCUUCCAGUCCAGUAAAGAUUUUCUAAUUUUUUUUACCAGAGAAAUUUAGCUUGGUCCUCAAUUCGUUCCUUUUUUUUUCACCCUCUUUAACCUCGGUCAAGCUUUAAUUGGUGCUGGUUUCGAGGUCGUGUUUUAGUUUCGCGGUCGCCAUGGAUACCCAAGUUGUGAACACAUGCUGGGCUAUCCCGUAAACGUUAAUAACAAUUGUGAAGAUAGUGCCCAUUAGCCAUGUGACCGGGACCGGUAUAAUGCAUGUUGUACUGCGAUGAUGUUGGCUAUCCCGUGCGCCUUCGCAGAUAAGUUUCUUUUGGCCGCUCUGCAGUAUUCCUUGACUCUAAACAUGUAGAUGACGGGAUUGCACAACGGGUUCAAACUGGUUAUCAAACACAUCAAAGCUUGGAAACAUUGGCCCCAUGCCUGCACCAAUCAAAGGUAGCCACGUCAGCAAUGACGUAAUGGUCACCAGUAGCAACGUUUUGGCGAGUUCCCGCUCUUUUUGGAUGGUUCUCUGAAGGUCGGACUGGUUGUGAAGCUGGCGCUGUUUUUUGACAUUGAUAAAAGCCGUGGCAUAUGAUGAUGUCAGUGUUACCAAGGCAACGGCGCCUAUUGCGAUCAAGAUUUGUAGCGCUAUCGAUGCGUAAACGUUAAUAACAAUUGUGAAAAUAGUGCCCAUUAGCCAUGUGACCGGGACCGGUAUAAUGCAUGUUGUACUGCGAUGAUGUUAUGGCCAAACAGUGGCGAACAUUUGUUCAAUAGCAAUAAACACCAGGGACAUAAUGUUCGCGUUCGUCAGGAAAACAAAUAUCGACCCCUGGUUUAAACUUUAGAACCUUUAAAGGCUAAUAUCGCCAGAACGUUGGUUAGAGGACUAGUUUGCGUAUGGAAUCACCUCCCGUACAGUCUCCGCAAGGGCCGGGACUAGGGUAGCCCCAGUAAGGAGAUCAGAGAGGGCGAGGUUAACCACGAGGUACAUUCUUCGCUUUCUCAGGUGCGAGUUGAUCAUCAGCGUGGUGACGGUCAGUAAGUUGAACAACACAAUAGUAACACCGACCACAAGGAAACAACAGAACAUCAAAAUGAACGGCGCGGUGGAAGGGAGCUUAAGUCCACCACCAGAGUUAGUCGUCGUCGAGACAGUAGCCAUCGUCGACCUGGUCACCUUGACAAAUUUUGCUGACCCGCGAGAGUUGGCUCACCGUCAGAACGCAGUUGGUCUUGACCCCGUUCUUUUGCCCAAUGGGGUCCCUUAAACUCCUUGUUUUAUGCUGAUGAUCUGGUUCUUAUCUCAACCAGUGCUUCGGGACUACAAAAAUCGAUUAAUUUGAUAGAUCAAUUCUGUAAAGAUUGGUUAAUGUCUGUAAAUCAAAAGAAAACAAAAGUAGUUAUUUUUCAAAAACAAUGCCGGAAACUGACUCUUCAAAAAUUUCGCUUUUUCUUAAAUGGCUCACAACUAGAUAACGUAACAGAAUAUAAAUACUUAGGGUGUACUUUUACUACAAACGGUAAUUUCACAAUUUCGAAACUGCGGUCAGUUGAAAAAACAAGACGCUCUAUCUUUGCAGUCAAGCGCUAUCUCAAUUUUAAUAGAUUCCCUAUCAAGUUAAAUAACAAGUUAUUUAACGCACUCUUCUCGCCGAUCCUAUUGUACAACUCGGACGUAUGGGGAGCUUACGAUGCGAUAAAUUUUCAAAAAUGGGAAACAGACCCCAUAGAACACUUGCAUUGCCAAUUUUUCAAAUACUACUUUGGCUUGAACAAACGCGCCCCGAAUGUCUCUGCCCGAAAUGAGGCCGGCAGAUUAUCGCUAAAAUCAACAAUAUUACGUAACACCCUACUGUUUUGGCUCCAUAUUCAAGCAUUACCAGAAAAUAGUAUUGCCAAACAAUGCCUGAAAAUUUCUAGCGAAUUGACAUGUUCGGGUAAAUCGAGCUUCAUGUCCUCAAUAUGUAAGAUACUAGAAACAUUUGAUGCCCCAUAUAAUAAGGAGACGAUUUAUAACAAAUUUAAACUAGGAAAAUUAAUCACAAAUAUUACAAACGAAUCUAAACGUCAUCAAAUGGAUCUUAUAAAUCUGAACAAAAAGCUAACUUUCUACUCCUCUAUCAAAAAAGACAAAAUCUAGUGAAUGCUAUGAUAAAAUACUUAAGAUGGAACACAGAAAAGCUUUAGCCAAACUCAGACUAGGGAAUCUUAAUCUAAACAUAGAAACAGGUAGACACACAAAACCUCCGAUUCCAAGAGAGAAGCGUAUCUGCCAGAUUUGUAACACUUUAGAGGAUGAAAAACAUUUCAUGCUUUUCUGCGUCUCAUCCCACUCUGAACGAAAGCAAUUAUUUUCUGAUAUCCAAUCCCACUACAUUUUCUUUGACAAUCUAAGUAAUGAUGAUAAAAUUCUGUUCCUUUUUAAUAAUGUUGACCCUUUUGUGAAUAAGAAAGUAGCCCACUUUAUAUGCAAAACAUUUAAAUCAAGACCGAAUACUCCCAUUUAAGCCAUAUUAUGUUAUGCAAUACCAUCAAUGUAAAUGGAAUGCAAAUAAAUAAAUGAAAAAAAUAUAUCAUGAGAAGAUCGUUAUGGAAGCUUCUCUCGUUCCAACUUGCUUAUCCUGAACUAACUGAUUAAGUAGUCUUUCUUUACAGUCCCCAAACUUCCCUU